GGGGAUGAAAGGAUUUCGACAGGGUCGGCGAGCCUUGAUCAGCGAGUAGCGGAGUUGCACCGCUAUAAAAGUAACAACUUAAAAUUAACUGACAAUAAUAAAUCAGUAGCUCUUGCUGCGUAAUUAGCAGCUUGCGUUCUGUCAAAGAGUGCCACGGCUUUGAAUAGAGCGUCGACUUAGUGGCGAACAUGAACGAAAGACCGUCCCGGCUUUCGUCAGGUAUCAGGGACUACCGUAGCAUAUAGGCUGUUUGCCGCCGAUAUGUGAGGGGAUUAACCUAAAUGACAAACUACACUCGUAGAACCCUUGGUAAACCUGCUCUGGACGCGGUUUCGAUUACCGCCAUCUCCACCA
rnacentral:tmRNA from 1 species